AGUGAACGCUGGCGGUAGGCCUAACACAUGCAAGUCGAACGGCAGCACAGUAAGAGCUUGCUCUUACGGGUGGCGAGUGGCGGACGGGUGAGGAAUACAUCGGAAUCUACUUUUUCGUGGGGGAUAACGUAGGGAAACUUACGCUAAUACCGCAUACGACCUACGGGUGAAAGCAGGGGAUCUUCGGACCUUGCGCGAUUGAAUGAGCCGAUGUCGGAUUAGCUAGUUGGCGGGGUAAAGGCCCACCAAGGCGACGAUCCGUAGCUGGUCUGAGAGGAUGAUCAGCCACACUGGAACUGAGACACGGUCCAGACUCCUACGGGAGGCAGCAGUGGGGAAUAUUGGACAAUGGGCCAAGCCUGAUCCAGCCAUACCGCGUGGGUGAAGAAGGCCUUCGGGUUGUAAAGCCCUUUUGUUGGGAAAGAAAAGCAGCAGGUUAAUACCCCGCUGUUCUGACGGUACCCAAAGAAUAAGCACCGGCUAACUUCGUG
rnacentral:rRNA from 1 species